UACGGAGGGGGCUAGCGUUGUUCGGAAUUACUGGGCGUAAAGCGCACGUAGGCGGCGAUUUAAGUCAGAGGUGAAAUCCCUCGGCUUAACCGGGGAACUGCGUCUGAUACUGGAUGGCUUGAGUUUGGGAGAGGGAUGCGGAAUUCCAGGUGUAGCGGUGAAAUGCGUAGAUAUCUGGAGGAACACCGGUGGCGAAGGCGGCAUCCUGGACCAACACUGACGCUGAGUGAGCGAAAGCCAGGGGAGCAAACGGG
rnacentral:rRNA from 1 species